GAGUUAGAGCCAAGAAUGACUUGCCGGCUAGCGAUAGGCUAUAUUGCUACAAGGCAUAAAAAAAAAGCUGCGGGAAGUCAUUCUGGCUCUACUU
rnacentral:sRNA from 1 species